GCCGUGGCUCAGUGGCAGAGCACAUGCUUUGAAUGUGGAAGGUCCUGAGUUCAAUCCCUCACAGCUCCAGCAGCA